rnacentral:rRNA from 1 species
UAGGGAAUCUUCCACAAUGGACGCAAGUCUGAUGGAGCAACGCCGCGUGAGUGAAGAAGGCUUUCGGGUCGUAAAACUCUGUUAUUGAAGAAGAACGUGCGUGACAGUAACUGGUCAUGCAGUGACGGUAUUCAAUCAGAAAGUCACGGCUAACUACGUGCCAGCAGCCGCGGUAAUACGUAGGUGGCAAGCGUUGUCCGGAUUUAUUGGGCGUAAAGCGAGUGCAGGCGGUCUUUUAAGUCUGAUGUGAAAGCCUUCGGCUUAACCGAAGAAGGGCAUCGGAAACUGGGAGACU